rnacentral:rRNA from 1 species
AAAGCGCGCGUAGGUGGUUUGUUAAGUUGGAUGUGAAAUCCCCGGGCUCAACCUGGGAACUGCAUUCAAAACUGACUGACUAGAGUAUGGUAGAGGGUGGUGGAAUUUCCUGUGUAGCGGUGAAAUGCGUAGAUAUAGGAAGGAACACCAGUGGCGAAGGCGACCACCUGGACUGAUACUGACACUGAGGUGCGAAAGCGUGGGGAGCAAACAGGAUUAGAUACACUAGU